AUUGAACGCUGGCGGCAGGCCUAACACAUGCAAGUCGAGCGAGCGGCGGACGGGUGAGUAAUGUAUGGGGAACUGCCCGAUGGAGGGGGAUAACUACUGGAAACGGUGGCUAAUACCGCAUACCAUCGGAUGUACCCAUAUGGGAUUAGCUAGUAGGUGGGGUAAAGGCUCCCCUAGGCGACGAUCCCUAGCUGGUCUGAGAGGAUGAUCAGCCAAACUGGAACUGAGACACGGCCCAGACUCUGACGGGAGGCAGCAGUGGGGAAUAUUGCACAAUGGGCGCAAGCCUGAUGCAGCCAUGCCGCGUGUAUGAAGAAGGCCUUCGGGUUGUAAAGUACUUUCAGCGGGGAGGCGUUACCCGCAGAAGAAGCACCGGCUAACUCCGUGCCAGCAGCCGCGGUAAUUC
rnacentral:rRNA from 1 species